rnacentral:lncRNA from 1 species
GGGGAGGAGGAGGAGGAAUGCAUUACCAAGCAGCAGGAAAUCUUGGAUGGUGAUGGAUAUGUUCAUCAUCUUGAUUGCAAUGAUGAUUUUGUAAUUAAAUUGAUCUUCAUUGAAGUUAAGAAAACGACUCAAAGUCACACACAUGGUUGUUCCACGGGAGAUCUGGACCACAGCUAAUGUAAAAGUCAUUCUUUCCUGAAGACAGUGCUGCCUCUCAAAACUCAAAACCACCAACAGGAAAACCUUUGGAAUGAUUUCCUUUUAAUCUCUUCAAAUGUAUUACAAAAAGAUACACAGACCAAUGGAACAGAAUCAAGA